rnacentral:rRNA from 1 species
AUUGAACGCUGGCGGCAUGCUUUACACAUGCAAGUCGAACGGCAGCGCGGGCUUCGGCCUGGCGGCGAGUGGCGAACGGGUGAGUAAUACAUCGGAACGUGCCCAGUAGUGGGGGAUAGCUCGGCGAAAGCCGGAUUAAUACCGCAUACGACCUGAGGGUGAAAGCGGGGGAUCUUCGGACCUCGCGCUAUUGGAGCGGCCGAUGGCAGAUUAGCUAGUUGGUGGGGUAAAGGCCUACCAAGGCGACGAUCUGUAGCUGGUCUGAGAGGACGACCAGCCACACUGUGACUGAGACACGGCCCAGACUCCUCCGGGAGGCAGCAGUGGGGAAUUUUGGACAAUGGGCGAAAGCCUGAUCCAGCAAUGCCGCGUGUGUGAUGAAGGCCUUCGGGUUGUAAAGCACUUUUGGCGGGAACGAAAAGGACUGUGCCAAUACCACGGUUCGAUGACGGUACCCGCAGAAUAAGCACCGGCUAACUACGUG